UACGUAGGGAGCAAGCGUUGUUCGGAUUUACUGGGCGUAAAGGGCGCGUAGGCGGCAAUUCAAGUCAGCUGUGAAAUCUCCGGGCUUAACUCGGAACGGUCAGCUGAUACUGCUUUGCUAGAGUGCGGAAGGGGCAAUCGGAAUUCUCGGUGUAGCGGUGAAAUGCGUAGAUAUCGAGAGGAACACCUGAGGUGAAGACGGGUUGCUGGGCCGACACUGACGCUGACAGCGCGAAAGCGUGGGGAGCAAACGGG
rnacentral:rRNA from 1 species